rnacentral:rRNA from 1 species
GAUGAACGCUGGCGGCGUGCCUAAUACAUGCAAGUCGAGCGAACGGACGAGAUGCUUGCUUCUAUGAUGUUAGCGGCGAACGGGUGAGUAACACGUGGAUAACCUACCUAUAAGACUGGGAUAACUUCGGGAAACCGUAGCUAAUACCGCAUAAUAUUUUUAAACACAUGGUUCAAAAUUGAAAGACGGUAUUGCUGUAACUUAUAGAUGGAUCCGCGCUGCAUUAGCUAGUUGGUAAGUAAACGGCCUACAAAGGCAACGAUCCAUAGCCGACCUGAGAGGGUGAUCGGCAACACUGGAACGGAGACACGGUCCAGACUCCUACGGGAGGCAGCAGAAGGGAAUCUUCCGCAAGGGGCGAAAGCCUGACGGGGCAAGGCCGCGGGAGGGAUGAAGGUCUCCGGAUCUUAAAACUCGGUUAUUGGGGAAGAACAUAGGGGUAAGUAACAGUGCACAACGUGACGGUACCUAAUCAGAAAGCCACGGCUAACUACGUG